GAGUAAAGAUUUCGGUCGCUUUGGGAGGAGCUCGCUUACUAUCAGCUUGUUGGUAGGGUAAUGGCCUACCAAGGCUAUGACGGUUAGGGGGUGUGAGAGCAUGACCCCCAGCAUUGGCACUGAAACACUGGCCAAACACCUACGGGUGGCUGCAGUCGAGAAUCUUCCACAAUGGGGGAAACCCUGAUGGAGCGAUGCUGCGUGCGGGAUGAAGGCCUUCGGGUUGUAAACCGCUUUCGUACGGGACGAAAUUUUUGACGGUACCCUUUCGACUAAGAGGUUGCUAACUCUGUGCCAGCAGCAGCGGUAAUACAGAGACCUCAAGCGUUAUCCGGAUUUACUGGGCGUAAAGCGUCUUUAGGGGGUUUAUUAAGUUCCAAGUAAAAUUUCAAGGCUCAACUUUGAAUUCGCUUGGAAAACUAAUAAACUGGAGUCUAGCAGAGGUGCAUGGAACUCGUGGUGUAGGAGUGAAAUCCGUUGAUAUCACAAGGAACACCAAAGGCGAAGGCAUUGCACUGGGCUAGCACUGACCCUGAGAGACGAAAGCGUGGGGAGCAAAACGGAUUAGAUACCCGUGUAGUCCACGCCCUAAACGAUGAAUGCUAAAUGUUCGGGGAUUCGACCCCCUGGGUGUUACAGCUAACGCGUUAAGCAUUCCGCCUGGGAAGUACGGCCGCAAGGCUAAAACUCAAAGGAAUAGACGGGGAUCCGCACAAGCGGUGGAGCGUCUGGUUUAAUUCGACAGUAAGCGUGGUACCUCACCAGGGUUUGACAUCCCUUGACAGCCUUGGAAACAAGGUUUCCUUCGGGCAAGGUGACAGGUGCUGCAUGGUCGUCGUCAGUUCGUGCCGUGAGGUGUUCCGUUAAGUCGGGAAACGAACGAAACCCCUAUUGCAUGUUACAAUUUCUCAUGCAAGACUGCCCGCAUAUACUGGGAGGAAGGUGGGGAUGACGUCAGAUCUGCAUGGUCCUUAUACCCUGGGCGACACAGGCGCUACAAUGGCAGAGACAAAGGGUUGCAAAACCGCAAGGUGAAGCUAAUCCCAAAAACUUUGUCUAAGUUCGGAUUGAAGGCUGCAAUUCGCCUUCAUGAAGCUGGAAUCGCUAGUAAUCGCGAAUCAGC
rnacentral:rRNA from 1 species